AUUGAACGCUGGCGGCAGGCCUAACACAUGCAAGUCGAACGAGUGGCGGACGGGUGAGUAAUGUCUGGGAAACUGCCCGAUGGAGGGGGAUAACUACUGGAAACGGUAGCUAAUACCGCAUACCAUCGGAUGUGCCCAGAUGGGAUUAGCUCGUGGGUGUGGUAACGGCUCACCUAGGCGACGAUCCCUAGCUGGUCUGAGAGGAUGACCAGCCAAACUGGAACUGAGACACGGCCCGGACUCCUACGGGAGGCAGCAGUGGGGAAUAUUGCACAUGGGGCGCAAGCCUGAUGCAGCCAUGCCGCGUGUAUGAAGAAGGCCUUCGGGUUGUAAAGUACUUUCAGAGAGGAGGCGUUACUCGCAGAAGAAGCACCGGCUAACUCCGUGCCAGCAGCCGCGGUAAUUC
rnacentral:rRNA from 1 species